GAUGAAGAACGUAGCGAAAUGCGAUAAGUAAUGUGAAUUGCAGAAUUCAGUGAAUCAUCGAAUCUUUGAACGCACAUUGUGCCCGCCAGUAUUCUGGCGGGCAUGCCUGUCCGAGCGUCAUUUCAACCAUCAAGCCCCGGGCUUGUGUUGGGGACCUGCGUCCGACGCAGGCCCUGAAAACCAGUGGCGGGCUCGCUGUCCACACCGAGCGUAGUAACUAACCUCGCUAUGGAGUGGCGCGGGCGCCUGCCGUAAAACCCCCAAUUUCACAAGGUUGACCUCGGAUCAGGUAGGAAUACCCGCUGAACUUAAGCAUAUCAAUAAGCGGAGGA
rnacentral:misc_RNA from 1 species